CAGCCGUAAACUAUGCGCGUUAGGUGUAUCGGUGACCACGAGUUACCGAGGUGCCGAAGGGAAACCGUGAAACGUGCCGCCUGGGAAGUACGGUCGCAAGGCUGAAACUUAAAGGAAUUGGCGGGGGAGCACCACAACAGGUGGAGCCUGCGGUUUAAUUGGACUCAACGCCGGGAAGCUCACCGGAUAGGACAGCUGAAUGAUUGUCAAUCUGAAGGUUUUACAUGACUAGCUGAGAGGUGGUGCAUGGCGUCAGUGACU
rnacentral:rRNA from 1 species